UGUUGCCUACGGGGGGCAGCAGUGGGGAAUAUUGCACAAUGGGCGCAAGCCUGAUGCAGCGACGCCGCGUGCGGGAUGGAGGCCUUCGGGUUGUAAACCGCUUUUGUUCAAGGGCAAGGCACGGUCUUUGGCCGUGUUGAGUGGAUUGUUCGAAUAAGCACCGGCUAACUACGUGCCAGCAGCCGCGGUAAUACGUAGGGGGCAAGCGUUAUCCGGGUUUAUUGGGCGUAAAGGGCUCGUAGGCGGUUCGUCGCGUCUGGUGUGUAAGU
rnacentral:rRNA from 1 species